rnacentral:lncRNA from 1 species
CCUAUUCUCUCAACCCCCCUUUUGGCCGGCAUGGGUUCCAUCGUUGAUACACCCUACCGCCGCCGUGGCCGGUGGCCAACGAUGCGGAAAACGGGCUUUUUAGCCUCGCUUUGAGGCGCCUUUGAAGGCCAAGACACCAAAAUCCAAAGAGUCGAAAGGAGAUCACUCUCUGGCCCUUUUGAGUUUGACUUCGGAAACGGAGAAUGGCCUCCUGACGUUGCAACCGCGGGAAAAUCAGGUGAGCCACAAUCUUUCCGUUUUUAUAUUUUCAUAUAUGUAUAUAUAUAUAAAUAAAAUAAGAUAAAAUAAAAUAAACUUAAUAUUAAAAUCAAAGAAAUAUUAAAUGAAAAUCACCUUUCUUCAAUAGAUUUCUAUUCUUUUUGUUCGAAAGUUCUUUUAUAUUUUCUUUUGUUUUUGUGCGUGUGUAAAAAAAAGUACAAAGGAAUCAUCUUGGCUUUUAUAGCCGACGCUAAGAUCCAUUUUUGUUUGUUUUUGUUUUGUUUCUGCUGCCAUUUUGUCUUUUUCCUUGUUGUUUCUCGUACUACUUGCGUGUUGGUUUUGUUUUGUAGGUGUCAGAAGCGUGGUGAUGGCUUGCGGUUAUGAUGGCACGCUGAGGAGGAGCGGCAGUUGAAGCUCUUAGGGGGCUAGGGUUUUUCUUCUUCUUGUUUUGGCUGAAAGUGUUUAGUUUUGUGGGCUAGGGUUUAGUUGGGGUUAAUUUGGGUUUAUGGUUUAGGCUUGUAAAAUUGGGUUUGUUGGGCUUUGGGUUUUGAAUUUUGUAAAAGAGACUGGACUGUUAAAAUUUUUGGACUUUUAUUAUUAUUAUUGUGUUUGGGUUUUCUGACGGGAUGGGCAAAUUUGGGCCCAUACAAUGUUGAUAUGAAAAACAUUAUAGAACGUAAAUAUAAAGAUUUUUGUUUCUUUACAGGCCCUUCCAAAAGCUAACAAAGUCUUUACCGAUUUUCUCAGCGAAUAUGGAGUCUUCCCGGCAUUAGAAGAAGGCUUGGUUAAUGAUGAUUUCAAACUUUUGUCUAGCUUUCGUUUAGCUUUUGGAUUCUUCCAAGCUACCUUCAUGUUUAUCCAAUUUUUUUUCCAGUUGGUCAUGCCGAAACAACUCAAACAUAAAU